UCUGGUUGAUCCUGCCAGUAGUCAUAUGCUUGUCUCAAAGAUUAAGCCAUGCAUGUCUAAGUAUAAGCAAUUUAUACAGUGAAACUGCGAAUGGCUCAUUAAAUCAGUUAUCGUUUAUUUGAUAGUUCCUUUACUACAUGGUAUAACUGUGGUAAUUCUAGAGCUAAUACAUGCUUAAAAUCUCGACCCUUUGGAAGAGAUGUAUUUAUUAGAUAAAAAAUCAAUGUCUUCGGACUCUUUGAUGAUUCAUAAUAACUUUUCGAAUCGCAUGGCCUUGUGCUGGCGAUGGUUCAUUCAAAUUUCUGCCCUAUCAACUUUCGAUGGUAGGAUAGUGGCCUACCAUGGUUUCAACGGGUAACGGGGAAUAAGGGUUCGAUUCCGGAGAGGGAGCCUGAGAAACGGCUACCACAUCCAAGGAAGGCAGCAGGCGCGCAAAUUACCCAAUCCUAAUUCAGGGAGGUAGUGACAAUAAAUAACGAUACAGGGCCCAUUCGGGUCUUGUAAUUGGAAUGAGUACAAUGUAAAUACCUUAACGAGGAACAAUUGGAGGGCAAGUCUGGUGCCAGCAGCCGCGGUAAUUCCAGCUCCAAUAGCGUAUAUUAAAGUUGUUGCAGUUAAAAAGCUCGUAGUUGAACUUUGGGCCCGGUUGGCCGGUCCGAUUUUUUCGUGUACUGGAUUUCCAACGGGGCCUUUCCUUCUGGCUAACCUUGAGUCCUUGUGGCUCUUGGCGAACCAGGACUUUUACUUUGAAAAAAUUAGAGUGUUCAAAGCAGGCGUAUUGCUCGAAUAUAUUAGCAUGGAAUAAUAGAAUAGGACGUUUGGUUCUAUUUUGUUGGUUUCUAGGACCAUCGUAAUGAUUAAUAGGGACGGUCGGGGGCAUCAGUAUUCAAUUGUCAGAGGUGAAAUUCUUGGAUUUAUUGAAGACUAACUACUGCGAAAGCAUUU
rnacentral:rRNA from 1 species